AACCGUUCAGAUGGAUUUUAUAGUAUAUACAAAAUAUAAACAAAAAAUGUAAAUCACAUUACAGAAUAUAUUAAUACAAUUAUAAGAAAACACAACAGAAUAUAUGAAACAAGUACGGAAUAAGAUAUUAAUUAAAAGUACUGUCAAGGUGUGCUUUACACAGAUAGAUAUAAACAUAGGAAAAACUGUCAUUGAUUCCAAAGGGGUGGACGGUGGCAAGUUUGGAAAUGAGACGCAUUUCGUGUCUUUUGCGGCUAUCCUUGCUACCAGAAAUGGUACAGACAGAGUGCUCGAAUUUCCGACCAUAUCUGAAACACAGUGAUUACCACUGUAAUUGCCACUGUCAUUGAUAGUAGAAAUAAUUUUUGCAUAAUGGAAGUGUACUUUUCUUUGUUUUGCUUUACACGGAAGACAAAAAUAUUCUAGCACACAAAUUCGAGCAAAAACUACUUAAUGCAGUGCUAUUGUGGCUUUUAGUAAAACACAAAUAAUUAUUGAACAGUUAAAUGCAUACUUGGACCAAUGCAUAUAUUGUCGUAGUUGGUACUAUAGGCAUAAGUAUGCAUAUAUUUGCAAUACAGUAUACUGCAUGUAGUACCGAUUAUAUAGGGGUAUUGAUUGAUUGAUUGAAGCACUUAUUUAAUCACGAUUGAAAGAUACCAGCUAAAGCAGAUUGGAGCGUAUAAAAAGGUAAUCCAACUUGAACAAGUUCCCUGUUUUAGAUAUCGAAUUUAUCGAUAACAUUUAUACACAGCGAGAAAAUUCAGGCUUUUAGUUGUCCAAUGACACUUUUAUAACAUUAUAAGAGAAAAUGGCCAAAUACGAUUGGAAUAAUACACCGUCGGGAAUUUUGUGAAAAAUUAUUGAAAGUAAAUCUAAUUGGAUCUAAAUUUUGUGAAUUUUAAUUUAAUUUGAAAAACCAUAAAAUCUGUUUUCUUCUGUUUGAAGCCUAUUGGUUGGCAUGACGCAUUAGAUAUUAGUUCGUUUUCUUUUCUUCUGCACUGCUUUAAUAAUGCACAUAGGUCGAUUGAUUGUUUGAUUGCUGCGUAGCGAGCGAGCCUGAAGCGAGCGAGCGAAGAAGCAUUCUAAUUUGUGCUGAGAGGGGGGUUUGAAGUAAAUUUUAUUUUAGCGCAUUGCAUUGUUGUCGUGCGCGCAUACUAUGCGCUGAACACAAAAUAUAAGCGCCGUGCGACAUGUAAUAUUUGAGGCGCAUUUGAAGGAUAUCGUUUAUUGUUUUGCUUGCUACUGCUUGUAAAUUAUUUUGACUCGGAAACUCGACGUAAAGUUUAACAAAGUUUUUGGCCCUGUAAAGGCCAUAAUUUAGUGUAUAAAAUAACGUGACUGCACUUCGUACGUUGCCACUCAAUGGACUAUGACCACCAGGGCGAAGGGAGGGAGGGCGUGGAAACGGCAAUACAAGUCUUGGGACCAUCCGUGAUGCGGGAUUUGCGGGAGGUAAGACGUUCUAAUUGUAAACAAAUAUGGCGAAGCAUAUGACCCAUCAGAAGGAAGGCUUAAACCAUUGCUUUAUAAAAUAUUAUUUGUGUAAAAUUUAUAUGUUUUUGUUACUUGUAG